GGCGUAGUGGCGAAGUGGUAACGCUUUGGUCUGCAAAACCAACAUGCGCGGGUUCGAUUCCCGCCUACGCCUCAA
rnacentral:tRNA from 2 species